UAUUUUUAAUUUCAGCACUUUUUCACAUGAGAAGACAGGACCCCAGGCGAUCUGGGCGGGGGCAGACUGCAGAGGAAUGGCGAAAGCAAGAAAUGGAAGGCGUAGUAAAUGCUCAAAACUGCCCUGGAUUGGCCCCUCUGGGUAUGGCAAAUUCGUGCGUUCUCAAACAUAAUUUUUGGCAACUUAACAGCGAUUUUAAACCGUUUCAGGUAAAAUGAACUCAGUUCAAGUAAAGACUAACUAUUUAUAUUUAUAUAAUAACGUUAAGACAUCAAGCCCUUUCAUUCGCCGAGAACCAUGAUCUAUUAGAUCACAGACGCAUGGAAUUACGGCACAAUUAAGGUAGCCAAUAGCAUUCUCCUUAUUUGUAUAUAUCAUGUACGCGUGAUAUUUGUAAAAUUUCGACUUUUUCAAAUUUCUAAAUGUUUGGGUGGAUAAAAAGUAAGCUAUUUACCUCUUUAAUUCAGAGGUUUUCUUUUUAUUAUAUAAAACAAAUAAAUAAAAUUUUGCCGUUGUUUGUUCAGUUAUAAAUACACAGUAUGACAUCAUAAUGUGGGAAGAACAAAAAAGUGACCCACUCGCCCAGCGGCUUGUGCCACUUUUUUGUUCUUCCACAUUAUGACGUCAUACUGUGUAGCUACUAGAAAUACAUGCAUGAACCCCUCGCCCGCUCGCAAAACCACUAUAUUUUCCAAACAUGAAGUAUUUGAAGUGGUUGCCAUAGUAACACGAUAAUUUUAUUCUUUUAUAUUUUUAAAACUGGAAGAAAAAAACCCCCCAAAAUAUCACUUUUAAUUACAAAAUAUAUAAAUUUCCCAAGUCUUUUAUCGAUAAACUUUGACUUUCCGAGUUUGAAAUAAAAUGAUUUCAAAUUAUGCGAUUUUUGCAUGAAAAUAAUUUUGCUUUCAGUUUUCCUGCAAUGAUAACCAUAAUUUAAGAAGUAACAACUUAAUGCUGAGGAUGGCUAAACCAAAAACUAGUGAAAUGAAAAAGUCGUUCAGUUAUGCCGCCGCCAACAUCUGGAACUUACAGAGUAUUUCAGAAAGAAAGAAAUUAACUUGAUUCAAUGAUUUGAUAUAUAGUGGGUUACGCGUAGCGUAUUAAAUGUAUUUGACGUGUAAUUAUGUAUAUUCUCCUGUAUUGUAUUGUAUUGUAUUGAUAUUAUUGUAAUUUUAGCGUAAUCACACGGCCUUUUGAAAAGCAGCAUUUCAUUUUUUUAAUUUAUUAUUACAUGUCUACUUAUAUAAAUUAUAUGCACGUAUAUAAAGUUUUUAAU